UUGGAGGUUUCUGGUGUGGGUGGCAGGGGGCCUGGAUUAGAGUUAGACCCUUGGCCUUCAGCAAUCAGGUGAAAGACUGUGAGACACAGAAUCCUAGCUCUGCUGACCACAGUUGCAAAGUUGCAGUAAGAACACUCCUAAGGGUGAUGGCCGAUGGGGAGAUUUGUAGCCUUUGCUCGAAUCUUCGCUACCGCAGGUGACAAAUCUCUCAAAUUUUUUGGCAAUAAUGUAAAUUGCGGAAUGCAAGACAUACACAUUGUUUCGUUUUCCGUAGUCGCCACAGGCAAAUUUCAGCAAAUUGGGAAAGACAAAACAACUUGCAUGGUUUUCCCCUGGUCGAUCUACAUUAUUGACACUGGAAAAGCAUUUUCGGGAGCUUUUUGAAUGCAGAUAUAUAUCCAAGUGGGUGCACUAAGCAUACAGCCUUCAUGCCAUGAUGGGGAAUGGUGGAGGAUGCCAAGAAUAACCAUUAUAAACAGAAUCUUCAGCCUGUUAGGCCAGUGUGAGAAUGCUUGGUAGAGCAGCCAAUACCCACAGGAGGAGGGCACCUGUCACUCGCAGUCACCGCAACUAAAUGAUACGACUCUGUAGACGUCCAUAGGAAUCAAUACUAAGGGAUAAACCUACCGACAGGGUAAAAACUGCUUUCCUGGUCACGCUGUUAUUGUUUUUUUAUUUGACGCUGUUUGAUUAAACUAUACACCUUUAUUCUGCCAGAAUAAAAGUAAAUAAAACUUACAUAGUAAAUUCCGUA